CAGGCAGGCGGUCUGUUAAGUCGUUUGUGAAAAUCCGGGGCUCAACUCCGGAAAUGCAGACGAAACUGGCAGACUUGAGACCGGUAGAGGCUAGCGGAAUUCCUGGUGUAGCGGUGGAAUGCGUAGAUAUCAGGAAGAACACCUGUGGCGAAGGCGGCUAGCUGGGCCGGGUACUGACGCUGAACUGCGAAAGCGUGGGGAGCAAACA
rnacentral:rRNA from 1 species